rnacentral:lncRNA from 1 species
ACCCACACUCUUCUUUGCCAUAGACACCACAGCUCUUGGUGCUCUGCCAUUUGACUUGAAAGAUCGGAUUUUGGACACCACAUGAGAACUAAACAAUGGGUCUGCAGCAGAGAAACCAAGACCACGGAGGCUGGUUGUGCGGAGGCCAGAGGUGGAGACUGGGAGAAGGGAGGCACGGGCAGAAGUGGAGGUGGAGGCGGCGGCUGUUUUGAGGAGAGAUAGAGUUGUUGGUGCUGUGGCAGAGGCCAUUUGGCGGUGUUUGUGGACUGUUUUGUGAGA